UCAGAUUGAACGCUGGCGGCAUGCUUUACACAUGCAAGUCGAACGGCAGCACGAAAGAGCUUGCUCUUUUGGUGGCGAGUGGCGAACGGGUGAGUAAUACAUUGGAACGUACCGAGUAAUGGGGGAUAACUGUCCGAAAGGAUGGCUAAUACCGCAUACGCUCUGAGGAGGAAAGCGGGGGACCUUCGGGCCUCGCGUUAUUCGAGCGGCCAAUGUCUGAUUAGCUAGUUGGUGGGGUAAAGGCCUACCAAGGCGACGAUCAGUAGUGGGUCUGAGAGGAUGAUCCGCCACACUGGGACUGAGACACGGCCCAGACUCCUACGGGAGGCAGCAGUGGGGAAUUUUGGACAAUGGGCGAAAGCCUGAUCCAGCCAUGCCGCGUGUCUGAAGAAGGCCUUCGGGUUGUAAAGGACUUUUGUCAGGGAAGAAAGGG
rnacentral:rRNA from 1 species